UGGGGAAUAUUGCACAAUGGAGGGAACUCUGAUGCAGCAACGCCGCGUGCGGGACGACGGCCUUCGGGUUGUAAACCGCUUUCAGCCAUGACGAAGCUUUUGUGACGGUAGUGGUAGAAGAAGCACCGGCUAACUACGUGCCAGCAGCCGCGGUGAUACGUAGGGUGCGAGCGUUGUCCGGAAUUAUUGGGCGUAAAGAGCUUGUAGGCGGUUUGUCGCGUCGAUAGUGUAAACACGCAGCUUAACUGUGUGCCUGCUGUCGAUACGGGCUGACUAGAGGAGGGUAGGGGAGAAUGGAAUUCCCGGUGGAGCGGUGGAAUGCGCAGAUAUCGGGAGGAACACCAGUGGCGAAGGCGGUUCUCUGGACCUUUCCUGACGCUGAGAAGCGAAAGCGUGGGUAGCAAACAGG
rnacentral:rRNA from 1 species